GACGAACGCUGGCGGCGUGCUUAACACAUGCAAGUCGAACGGGUCUGCCCUGUUUUUUGCGGGGUGGGUCAGUGGCGACCGGGUGAGUAACACGUGAGUAACCUGCCCCUCACUUCUGGAUAACCGCUUGAAAGGGUGGCUAAUACGGGGUGUUCUGGCUGUGCCGCAUGGUGUGGCUGGGAAAGAUUCCCUUUUGUGGUGUUUUGGUGGGGGAUGGGCUCGCGGCCUAUCAGCUUGUUUGUGGGGGGAUGGCCUGCCAAGGCUUUGGCGGGUAGACGGCUUGGGCGGGUGGGCGGCCAGAGUGGGAGUGAGACCAGGUCGGGACUGCGGCAGGGGCCAGCAGUGGGGGGUAUGGAACAGUGGGCGGAAGUCUGAUGCAGCGGCGAGGCGUGAGGGAUGGCGGCGUUCGGGUUGUGAAGCUCUUUGGCCGGUGAAGAAGGUCCUGCUGUUUGUGGGGGGGUUGACCGUAGCCGGGUUAUGAAGCGCCGGCUAACUACGUG
rnacentral:rRNA from 1 species